UACAGAGGUCUCAAGCGUUGUUCGGAUUCAUUGGGCGUAAAGGGGUGCGUAGGUGGCGCCGUAAGUCGGGUGUGAAAUUUCGGAGCUUAACUCCGAAACUGCAUUCGAUACUGCGGUGCUUGAGGACUGGAGAGGAGACUGGAAUUCAUGGUGUAGCAGUGAAAUGCGUAGAGAUCAUGAGGAAGACCAGUGGCGAAGGCGGGUCUCUGGGCCACUACUGACGCUGAGAAGCGAAAGCAUGGGGAGCGAACAGG
rnacentral:rRNA from 1 species